CCUACGGGGUGCAGCAGUGAGGAAUAUUGGUCAAUGGACGAGAGUCUGAACCAGCCAAGUAGCGUGAAGGAUGACUGCCCUAUGGGUUGUAAACUUCUUUUAUAUGGGAAUAAAAUGUUCCACGUGUGGGAUUUUGUAUGUACCAUAUGAAUAAGGAUCGGCUAACUCCGUGCCAGCAGCCGCGGUAAUACGGAGGAUCCGAGCGUUAUCCGGAUUUAUUGGGUUUAAAGGGAGCGUAGGUGGAUUGUUAAGUCAGUUGUGAAAGUUUGCGGCUCAACCGUAAAAUUGCAUUUGAAACUGGCAGUCUUGAGUACAGUAGAGGUGGGCGGAAUUCGUGGUGUAGCGGUGAAAUGCUUAGAUAUCACGAAGAACUCCGAUUGCGAAGGCAGUUCACUGGACUGCAACUGACACUGAGGCUCGAAAGUGUGGGUAUCAAACAGGAUUAGAUACCCGUGUAGUC
rnacentral:rRNA from 1 species